CUGGAUGGGACUCCGGCGCCAGGGCGACGGCUCCUACAAGUGGUCGGACGGCUGGCCGGUGUUCUUCACCCAGUGGGGCCCCGGAGAGCCCAGCAACCUGCAGGACGAGGGCUGCGUCAGCAUGCACGCCGCCUUCCCCUUCCACGGCACCUGGAACGACACCGACUGCGCCGUGGCCAAGUCCUACAUCUGCAAGAUCUCCUACGACUCUCCGCCGCCGACCCCCGCCCCCGGCGACGGGCAGUGUGUGUUCGGCUUCGUGCCGUACGGCCGC